rnacentral:rRNA from 1 species
AUUGAACGCUGGCGGCAUGCUUUACACAUGCAAGUCGAACGGUAACAGGCCGCAAGGUGCUGACGAGUGGCGAACGGGUGAGUAAUGCAUCGGAACGUGCCCAGUCGUGGGGGAUAACGCAGCGAAAGCUGUGCUAAUACCGCAUACGAUCUAUGGAUGAAAGCGGGGGAACGUAAGUCCUCGCGCGAUUGGAGCGGCCGAUGUCAGAUUAGGUCGUUGGUGGGGUAAAGGCUCACCAAGCCAACGAUCUGUAGCUGGUCUGAGAGGACGACCAGCCACACUGGGACUGAGACACGGCCCAGACUCCUACGGGAGGCAGCAGUGGGGAAUUUUGGACAACGGGCGCAAGCCUGAUCCAGCAAUGCCGCGUGCAGGAAGAAGGCCUUCGGGUUGUAAACUGCUUUUGUACGGAACGAAAAGGUUUGGGUUAAUACCCUGGGCCGAUGACGGUACCGUAAGAAUAAGCACCGGCUAACUACGUGCCAGCAGCCGCCGUAACAC